UGGUAUAUAUAGGAAGUGUUGGCUGUA
rnacentral:piRNA from 1 species